rnacentral:rRNA from 1 species
UACGUAGGGCGCAAGCGUUAUCCGGAAUUAUUGGGCGUAAAGAGCUCGUAGGCGGUUUGUCGCGUCUGCCGUGAAAGUCCGGGGCUCAACUCCGGAUCUGCGGUGGGUACGGGCAGACUAGAGUGAUGUAGGGGAGACUGGAAUUCCUGGUGUAGCGGUGAAAUGCGCAGAUAUCGGGAAGAACACCCGUGGCGAAGGCGGUUCUCUGGGACGGUACUGACGCUGAGACGCGAAAGCGUGGGGAGCGAACAGG